rnacentral:lncRNA from 1 species
GGUGUGUCAUGUCUUGACCACUCGGAGCCAUCCUGAUACCCCCAUGGUCACCCCAACCAGGUAAUGCUGCCAUCCCUCCUCUCUCCAGGUGUGAUCCAAACCCUGAGCCCCUGACAUGUCCUUCCUCAGCAUGCUACUGAGACCUGGGAUAGCUUUGCUCUUUCUAUGCCAGUCCUGUUGGGGGUGGGUGGGGGCGGAUGGAGGAUACAGAGAAG